AGAACAACAGAAACUCUACACUAAGAGGAGCGCCCCUGUGAUGCUUAUUAACCCUGUGGAUUUAACCACACUGAAGCAAGCCGACGUCAGACCUCCACAGGUACAAAACGCUUUGCUGCUCUCUAUCAGUCAGACCGAAGCAGCAAGAAGAGGCUGAGCAGUCAAGUUCAAGUUCUUUCUUCUUUCGUGUGUGAAGGAAACACAGCAGUCUGUCAGCAGCAAAGCAAACAAAGUCAGCCAAUUAAGCUACCCGCUUGACCUGGAACAAAAUCAGUACAGAAAAAAAAAA